UCCGAGUUGACCCCGGCAGUCUCCCGUGAGUCCCCAGCACCAAACGGCCUGCUGGCAACACGGGACAAGGGUUGCGCUCGUUGCGGGACUUAACCCAACAUCUCACGGCACGAGCUGACGACAGCCAUGCAGCACCUUGCUACCGGUCCCCGAAGGGAAAGCCCCCUUUCACCCGCUUUAACUAGCAUGUCAAACCCAGGUAAGGUUCUUCGCGUUGCAUCGAAUUAAUCCGCAUGCUCCGCCGCUUGUGCGGGCCCCCGUCAAUUCCUUUGAGUUUUAGUCUUGCGACCGUACUCCCCAGGCGGGGCACUUAGUGCGUUAGCUACGGCACGGAACCCGUUGAUAAGGCCCCACACCUAGUGCCCAACGUUUACGGCGUGGACUAC
rnacentral:misc_RNA from 1 species